GUUAUCGUUUAUUUGAUAGUACCUUACUACUUGGAUAACCGUGGUAAUUCUAGAGCUAAUACAUGCUAAAAACCCCGACUCCGGAAGGGGUGUAUUUAUUAGAUAAAAAGCCAACGCCCUCCGGGGCUCCGUGGUGAUUCAUGAUAACUUCACGAACCGCAUGGCCUUGCGCCGGCGGUGGUUCAUUCAAAUUUCUGCCCUAUCAACUUUCGAUUGUUGGGUAUUGGCCAACAAUGGUUACGACGGGUAACGGGGAAUUAGGGUUCGAUUCCGGAGAGGGAGCCUGAGAAACGGCUACCACAUCCAAGGAAGGCAGCAGGCGCGCAAAUUACCCAAUCCCGACACGGGGAGGUAGUGACAAUAAAUACUGAUACAGGGCUCUUUUGGGUCUUGUAAUCGGAAUGAGUACAAUUUAAAUACCUUAACGAGGAACAAUUGGAGGGCAAGUCUGGUGCCAGCAGCCGCGGUAAUUCCAGCUCCAAUAGCGUAUAUUAAAGUUGUUGCAGUUAAAAAGCUCGUAGUUGAACCUUGGCCCUGGCUAGCCGGUCCGCCUCACCGCGUGUACUGGUCCGGCCGGGGCUUUCCUCCUGGGGAUCCGCAUGGCCUUUACUGGUUGUGUUGGGGAACCAGGACUUUUACUUUGAAAAAAUUAGAGUGUUCAAAGCAGGCAUCCGCUCGAAUACAUUAGCAUGGAAUAAUGGAAUAGG
rnacentral:rRNA from 1 species